GUGUACUCCAACAUGAAAACGGAGCAUGCAUGUGAGCUGAGUAGUGACAUGCAACAUGCAUGUCCAUUGAUCCUUGCUGCUCAUUCACAUACAGUGUUCGCGAUGCCCCCUGGACACAGAAUUCCAGUGGACCCACCACGUGUGGGGAUUCAGGGGAGACUCAAAGCAAAUACAAGGAAAAAAGGCCCUUGGAUAUUCUAUUGUCUGCACUGAUUGAGGCAACGAGAAAGCUAAUGGAAAUAGUGGAUCUUGAGAUGAACAAGACAUACCCCUAAUUCGUAAGACACCCGAGGUCUAGUGGAAAAACAAAUCCCUAAAGCAGUAGUAAAACCGCAGUCAUGAUAAAAUGGUAAGUCUGGUGACUGGGAGGUAAAGGGGGAAGCACUGGGAAGGGCAUGAAGUCCAACCUGGGCUGACCAGGGAAGGCUUCCUGGAAGAGGCGAGUGUUGAAAUGCAUGAGUAUGAACCAGGCAAAGACUGGAGGAGACACAGAAUCCCGUGGACGUAAGAAACAACAUCAACGUGGAGGGAAAACCAGCAGUUUGGUGCCACUGGGGCACACAUAUAGAAGAGCAAAAGCCAAAGCAGGGACUGGGUCACAGAGGCCCUUGUGUGUCAUUCCAAG
rnacentral:lncRNA from 10 species